rnacentral:rRNA from 1 species
UGACAUCUGACCUCAAAUCAGGUAGGACUACCCG